GGGCGCGUAGCUCAAUGGUAGAGCAGUGGCCUUUUAAGCCAUUGGUUGAGA
rnacentral:tRNA from 1 species